AAAGACUAAUAAAAAGGAGCGUGAGCCUUGAAUCUUUGUUAUUUUUUUAGGCCUUCCCUGCCCCUUAGUUUGCUUGCAAACACAAGAGUAUGCAGCUAUCCUUUUUCUUAAAGCAGGUUUUUUCUUGUAUUCAUCUCAGAUUAUCUUUUGCUGUCCUCCUAGCUCUCAGAGGUGCAGUCACCCAGUGUGAGAAUCACCGUCCUGUGGACAUCACCACCCCACGUCUGAUGCCGUAACGUACCGUUUGGGACACGGUGGCGCGGGGUACCGGACAGUUCUUCCUCUCCUGCUGCAGCUGAUGUUGCUUCGGGCCCUGCAGAAGCAGAGAGUUCCCAGGUAGCUGUGGGACACCAGCUGGAAGACCAGGUAGCUCCUUGCUACGAUGUGCUCUAAUGCCUGCUGGGUGUUUGUGCUACGAAUCUGAAGACGCAAGGAGGAGACAAAGGGAUGAAACAGGACGUGGCUGUGUACGCAGGGGCGGCACAAACCAGCCACAGCAUCCUCGGUCCCAAGGCUGUGAACUGGAUCCCAUCUCCUCCACCGCAGCAGUUCCCCUGCAGUCCUGGUGAGUACUGCCAUGCUUUCCUUCACGUCUAUGAAAUGAAGGUGCCCAUGCCCCGUUCUUCUCCUACCAAGAGGAUCCUGCUGUGAAUACCUUGGCCUAGACGUCAGUGGGGCUUAGGUUGUCCUUGGCUUGCUCUAUUGUUUUGACCAAAUGACAUUCUGUAACCUAAUAUUCCCCACGGGAAGCUGUUGUGUAAAAUGAGACUGUUUCCGGGUAUGUAAUAACGUUUUUGAUAAAUGCUCCAUAUUGCAAGCUCCUGUUCCUGAUUUAUAGUCCUUAGUGGUAAUCAGGGAAGGGGCAUUUCCUUUCUUUGCUUGCCUGGAGACAAAGCGGUCCUGGAGGUACAAAACAUUUGGCUUUCCUUUCAGUCGCUGCUGCAAUAAUAAUUCUUUCCCAUGCUAAGUCUCUAGGCCUCAAAACCCUUCCAGGUACUGUUAGAAGAAAAGUAAAAUCCACUAGAGCAUGGUGCUGCAGUAUUUGUGGACCUGAGGCUAUUUUGGCUGGCAAAUUUUAGGAGAAGAAAGGACAAUUUUGCUGGAUUGCAGAUGGGGAGGGUCUGGAUUAAGUCCUGCCUUCAAACAAACUGGCUGAUUGACUUUGUCCAUGCGUCUUGAUUUUAAUUUAUUUAAGCCCUGGUUAUUGGAGGUCUUUUCUUUGCGUGGAAUGGAAGAUGAGUUGAAGUUUGGUGAUGGAUACAGGGCAGGUAGGUCUGUUCUGUUUGGCUGCCAUCCGAAUGAAAGCCCUUUACUAGUGGCGGCCACUUCUCAAAGGGCAGACAGAAAGAUGGUUGUGCCAAGAGGGGCGAACGAGUGAUCUCUCGCUAUGCUUGUCCCUGCCUGGCAGUCUUCUGGGUUGGGUAGGGCUCGGGGUUAAGCCAGGACUGGUUUGUAGAAGGGCAGUGGUUGUGGCAGCCACAUCUGGAGGCCAGCCUGAAAGCUGCAAUUGUCCCGUGUCUGCUUGCCAUCUGCCCUUCACCAGGACACGUGUGAAGCCUGACGAGUCACAGACAAAAUAAAAAGACUGCACGUCAUCUUUGCUCUUUUGUUUCCUGCAUUUUGCUCGGUUUGAAGAGUUGCUGGAUCAGCUUCUGCUAAGUGCUGAAUAAGGUCGGGUCUUGUUGUGCUGACAUGGGUUAUCAUGCUUUCCCUUUCUGCACACAGACCCUCCCACAGGUCAUGUUUGCCUGCUGAAAUUCGAAAUACGAACCGUUUGCAUUUGGUUCUGUGUCUCCUUCCUCUCCCUUUGUAACUUGCUGGUGUGACCAGAGCCAAACCCGCGCACCUGUGCACUGUUUGCCAGGGGGCCAGCAGGCAGGAACGUGCCUCUCCGCUCCCCUUGUCAUCUUGUGCUCCUGCAUACAAAAUACUCCCUGUUCUCCAGAUGGCUUUAGGUGCUUUGGGAUGCAGACAGCCCUGUGGGGCUUGCAGGAGUGCCCAGACCCACAGCUCAAGUACCAGGUUUUUACUGCUCUUUAACUAAUUCGCACCAAAAGCAAGAAGUAAGAAGGCAUAACCUUGUUCAAAACGAGGUUCUCACUGAAGCCAGUGUCAGGCAGGCGACUAACCACUUCCGAAAGUCUUGCUAAGUAUCCUCAGAAACCUCGCUGACCCCAAGUCCUUUUCUCCUGGAAUUACACACAGCACAUCUCACCUCCCAGAUUAAUGCUCGGAUUUAAACCUUCCUGAUCCUACUGCCACCACCGAGGUGCCCACGCAGCGGUGGCUCUGCAGUGGCCAUCUGCUCCAGCUCUGGUAACCAGCAGCAGCGAUCCUGUGAGUAACAGUUGCUGUAAUGUCUUAGCUAAAUAAAUCACAUCAUCCGCCAGUCCCAUGCAUUCGGCUGGCAUCUGCUCUUCCUUUGCUUACGAGAUGGGGCUUUGUGUGCCCAGUGUUUCCCCCAAGUGACCUUCUCAGCAGCCCUGGGAGACUUUUCACUUACCCAGGUGAGAUCCCGUCUGCUGAGCCCCCUUUUUACAGUGACAGAAACUG